CAAUAGCGUAUAUUAAAGUUGUUGCGGUAAAAAAGCUCGUAGUUGGAUUUCUGUUGAGAGCGACCGGUCCAUACCAUGUAUGCGUAUCUGGCUUGCUCUCGGCAUCCUCUCGAUAGACGUUACUGCGUUUGAUUGCGUGGUGCGGAUCUCGGGACUUUUACUUUGAGGAAAUUAGAGUGUUCACGGCAGGCUUUCGCCAGAAUACAUUAGCAUGGAAUAAUACUAUAGGAUCUUGGUUCUAUUUUGUUGGUUUCUAGAAUUGAGAUAAUGAUUAAUAGGGACAAUUGGGGGCAUUCGUAUCAACACGUCAGAGGUGGAAUUCUUGGAUUGUGUUGCGACGAACUACUGCGAAAGCAUUUGCCAAGGAUGUUUUCAUUGA
rnacentral:rRNA from 1 species